rnacentral:rRNA from 1 species
CAGUCGCCGCGGUAAUACGGAGGGUGCAAGCGUUAAUCGGAAUUACUGGGCGUAAAGCGCACGCAGGCGGUCUGACAAGUCAGAUGUGAAAUCCCCGGGCUUAACCUGGGAACUGCAUUUGAAACUGUCAGGCUGGAGUCUUGUAGAGGGGGGUGGAAUUCCAGGUGUAGCGGUGAAAUGCGUAGAGAUCUGGAGGAAUACCGGUGGCGAAGGCAGCCAUCUGGCCUAAUACUGACGCUGAGGUACGAAAGCAUGGGGAGCAAACAGGAUUAGAUACCCCUGUAGUCCCUGUCUCUUAUAC